UUUUGGGGUGAAAAAUACUUCAGUAGCUGUAAAUUGUUACUACAUGGCCUGAUUCUUGAAGGCUCACUCAUAGGGACUUCCGUACUUCUACUAUGCUCCCUCUUUAAAUAGGGUCUUAUACAAGGUGCGUGACUAUCAUCUGAGUAGCAAUUCAAUCAGCAUUUCUGGGGAAAGAAAUGCAGCAAAUUUACAAGACAAUAUAAGAGAGUUGGAUGGAUGAUAUUGCAAUCACUUCACAAUGACUGCAUGGAUCAAAUCAAUUGCCAUCCCAUUUCUUUAUAUCAUCAGCAAAUGUCUUUGGGAUGGUUUUACUGUCACUGUACAUGUUGAUCCUCCAAUUGCCUUGGUUGGACAAGGUGUGAUGUUGUCCUGCCAGCCCGGAGGCCACAACCCCACUCAUGUUCAAGG